rnacentral:rRNA from 1 species
UACGUAGGGUGCAAGCGUUAAUCGGAAUUACUGGGCGUAAAGCGUGCGCAGGCGGUUUUGUAAGUUUGUCGUGAAAGCCCCGGGCUUAACCUGGGAAUUGCGAUGGAGACUGCAAGGCUUGAAUCUGGCAGAGGGGGGUAGAAUUCCACGUGUAGCAGUGAAAUGCGUAGAGAUGUGGAGGAACACCGAUGGCGAAGGCAGCCCCCUGGGUCAAGAUUGACGCUCAUGCACGAAAGCGUGGGGAGCAAACAGG